UAAUUCAGAUUUACGCCCGAUCUCGUCCGAUCUCAGAAGCAUAGCAAUGUUGGGCUUUUUUAGUAUUUGGAUGGGAGACCACCUGGGAAUACUGAGUGCUGUAGGUAU
rnacentral:rRNA from 1 species